rnacentral:lncRNA from 1 species
AGGCAUCCUACGGUUCUCCCUGUGGUAUUUUGAUACUGCCAUUCCUGCUCUGGAUGAGCGUCUGGCCUCCAUUCGGGAUACCUGGGUUAAGGUUCAAACUGCUCUAGGGGCUGCUGCUGAACGCUUCAAACAUUUUGCUGAUAAGCGUAGGAGUGCCAACCUGGUGUACCAAGUGGGGGACCGGGUGUGGUUGUCAUCUCGCAACAUCAGGCUUAAGGUCCCUAGCAUGAAGUUUGCCCCCAGAUUCCUUGGUCCCUAUAGAGUGCUUUGUAGGAUCAAUCCAGUGUCUUACUCUCUGGCUCUUCCUGCAUCUUUAGGGAUUCCCAACACUUCAUGUGUCCUUACUCAAACCUCUUGUCUGCAAUAGAUAUACUGUUCCUUGUGUUCCUCCCCCUCCGGUGGUGGUGGUGGGUGGUCAGGAAGAGUAUGAGGUAUCUUCUAUCGUGGAUUCUGGGUUUUCUUGGGGCACUUUACAGUACUUGGUUGUUUGGAAAGGUUACGGUCCUGCUGAUCGUUCUUGGGUUUCGGCUCCUGACCUGCAUGCGGGCCUUAAGAUCCGCGCUUUUCACGCUAAAUUUCCUCUCAAGCCUGGUCCUGUCCGCCCGGUGGGGGGGUAAUGUCACGUAUUCAUCCGCUUAUAGAAAUGUGGUUAAUGACAUUUACUGUCCACACAGGAAAAGUUGUGCUGAGCAGCAACCUAAUCCACAGAAGGGUUAAUGCUGAGCAGCAAUUAUGUAAAUGAAACCUGGUAACUGACUUUGGGGUCAAAGGCCGGUUAGAGCCUAUCAGAACUAAAGGAGGGGUAUUUAGGCCCAGUUCUCAGCCUGCUCAGUGUCCUGUCGUGGUUUCCCUUGUGGUUGUCCGAGAGCGCGUUCCUGUUUAUAGUUUUCUACCUGGUUUUUGACUUUGGCUUUGUUUAUUGACUUCUCUAUAUUCUGAUAUCCUGACUCCUGGCUUUCCUCAUCGCUGUGUCCCUUUCUGUGUUCCCUGACCUCGGCUAGUAUUUUUGACUAUUCUUUGUACGUUAAAUCCGGCCAUUCUAAGGACUGGUAAUACAUUACUUAUUUGUCAUCCGUGCUGGAUCAAACAGUAAUCCUGACACCACUCUGACUACCUUUCUUUCCACCUGCACGGUUCCCGGUGGUUGCUAGGAGGAAGAGACUGGGGCAAUCACUUCCUCCCAGCUGCUAACAUCAGAGGGGGCCCAGUCGCGCUGAACGGGCCCCCUGGAAUUACAUAGCAUCGGGUUUCCCUAGCAGCAUGGGCCCCUUCAAUGCGGCGGGCCGGGGCCGCAUUACUCAGCUGGCGGGACCCAUGUUCGCAGGAGUCCGCAGGGCGGCCAAGACCCCUGAAGUGACUGGCCCGGUCGCAGCUGAGACCCCUGCAACCGCGGUAGUUCCGCCACUGGCUGUGGGUCAUGAGGAGGAGGGACAUCAGCUUUCUAUGCAGACAUAAAAUAUACUCAGAUGUGAAAUGCAUUUUGUAUGUGAUCAAGUUAAAUGUUGUACUGUAAGUGACCAAGUCUACAUGUUAUGAACUACAGCAGAGGACUUUUUUAAUGAUUGCUCUGAAGGGACAGUCCAGAUAACAAUUUGUUAGAGAGGGCUUGCACUUGAGGAGGGGGAUAAUUAUUCUAAUUCAUUACUUUGUAGUCAGUUAAGAUUAUGUCUGUUUUAUUUGUCCUGUUCUGUAUUCCCAUUGGUGAAAAUGUUUGUGCAUUUCUUUUUG